ACAGGGCUAAAGCCUGAACAGGUGGAGUGGCUAACCAAGGAGUUCUCCAUCUAUAUGACAAAGGACGGCCGCAUUUCUGUGGCAGGGGUCACCUCCGGCAACGUGGGCUACCUUGCCCAUGCCAUUCACCAGGUCACCAAGUAAUGUACCUGGUGCAAGGAAACAGAGACGACCUUUCUGUCUUCAGCCUCUGCUAUUGGGAGCUUCACACAGAGGAUGAGAGAGAGCGGAUGGUGGUGAGUGGAUCAUUUUCUUCAACCACGGUGUGUAACACUCAGCAAUUGAAUGUUUCUCAGAAAAGAACGUGUAGUGACACAGGGCAGAGGGAUCCGUGGCUGGCGUCUGGAACAUUGUGGCUCUA
rnacentral:lncRNA from 1 species